UACAGAGGGGGGCAAGCGUUGUUCGGAAUUACUGGGCGUAAAGGGCGCGUAGGCGGCCUGCUAAGUCGAACGUGAAAUCCCCGGGCCUCAACCCGGGAACUGCGUCCGAUACUGGUUGGCUUGAAUCCGGGAGAGGGAUGUGGAAUUCCAGGUGUAGCGGUGAAAUGCGUAGAUAUCUGGAGGAACACCGGUGGCGAAGGCGGCAUCCUGGACCGGUAUUGACGCUGAGGCGCGAAAGCCAGGGGAGCAAACGGG
rnacentral:rRNA from 1 species